GAUGAACGCUGGCGGCGUGCUUAACACAUGCAAGUCGAACGAAGCACCUUGAUUUGCUUCUUCGGAUGAAGAUCUUGGUGACUGAGUGGCGGACGGGUGAGUAACGCGUGGGUAACCUGCCUCAUACAGGGGGAUAACAGUUAGAAAUGACUGCUAAUACCGCAUAAGACCACAGCACCGCAUGGUGCAGGGGUAAAAACUCCGGUGGUAUGAGAUGGACCCGCGUCUGAUUAGGUAGUUGGUGGGGUAACGGCCUACCAAGCCGACGAUCAGUAGCCGACCUGAGAGGGUGACCGGCCACAGUGGGACUGAGACACGGCCCAAACUCCUACGGGAGGCAGCAGUGGGGAAUAUUGCACAAUGGGGGAAACCCUGAUGCAGCGACGCCGCGUGAGCGAUGAAGUAUUUCGGUAUGUAAAGCUCUAUCAGCAGGGAAGAAAAUGACGGUACCUGACGAAGAAGAACCGGCUAAAUACGUG
rnacentral:rRNA from 1 species